CACGAACGCUGGCGGCGUGCCUAAUACAUGCAAGUCGAGCGGAAGUUGGAGAGCUUGCUCUUCAACUUUAGCGGCGGACGGGUGAGUAACACGUGGGCAACCUGCCCUGCAGAUCGGGAUAACUCCGGGAAACCGGUGCUAAUACCGAAUAGUUUUCGCCACCUCCUGGUGGCGUAAGGAAAGACGGUUUCGGCUGUCACUGCAGGAUGGGCCCGCGGCGCAUUAGCUAGUUGGUGGGGUAACGGCCCACCAAGGCGACGAUGCGUAGCCGACCUAGGAGGGUGAUCGGCCACACUGGGACUGAGACACGGCCCAGACUCCUACGAGAGGCAGCAGUAGGGAAUCUUCCGCAAUGGACGAAAGUCUGACGGAGCAACGCCGCGUGAGUGACGAAGGUUUCCGGAUCGUAAAACUCUGUUGUGAGGGAAGAACAAGUACCAACUAACUACUGGUACCUUGACGGUACCUCACCAGAAAGCCACGGCUAACUACGUGCCAGCCGCCGCGGUAAAAC
rnacentral:rRNA from 1 species